UUGUAUAAUUGUGUAAUCACUCAGACAUCACGGUUGACAGGUUUUGGUUGGAAGGCCUCUGGCGGGCGGGCAUCCAAACCCGGGGCAAGCCCGGGGCCAGCGGCGGGGGAGGGCCCCCCCACGGCCCACCAAAGCAACACUGGAAGGUAUGCAAUGGGUGAAGAAGCAGGGCAGACCCGAAGGCCUACCCCUACCAGAAGCGAACGCCCUGGCCUUCUCGUUAAUGAUCCUUCCGCAGGUUCACCUACGGAAA
rnacentral:misc_RNA from 1 species